AAGUGUGAUCUGUGAAGAAUGUCAUCAAUAACUUUGCAAAUGUUACUGCCGUUUAGAGUGUCGAAUACGACAUUAAAAAAGCAAAAUUCAACUGGAUUCUGAGAUAGAGCCCGACUGUAGAUUAAUCAGCGUUUAAGGAUCCGAUUGGCCGACUCCACUGAUCUCUAUUAGCGUUUUCUACUGGUUGCACUGAGUGCGCACUGGCUCGAACAGGGGGCACUCGUUCCGUGCAUGCAUCGCCCGGCAUCGGGGCAAACCUUCUGAGUGGAACGCCGUAAAACGUAUAAAGGCAGACUAGAUCAUAAUUUCUCCUAAAUCACAAAUAAUGUGACGUUACUCGACCGACUGCGCGACUGUCAGUUUUUUCAAGCAAGUGAUAAAGAAACCAAUUGAACAAACGCAACGGGCAAUAUUUUACGCACUCAGUGCCAAAUUCACGCACCCGAGCUGCCAGUGGAACACGCUGGAAAUACAAAUCUACCGCUAGUACGCUCUCAGUUCACACUCAGUGCAACCAGUGGAAAACGCUAUAAGUGGAAAACGGCAAUAUAUGCUUUAGAAGCAGAGCUACUCACGAACUUGGAAGCGCAAAGGAGAUAAAUGGUUGUUGGCAGCACUGGGAGCUAAUUUCGGAACGCACCAUUUCUUUCAUCAUCACUUA